rnacentral:rRNA from 1 species
GUUGGGUAGGGGAGCGUUCUGUAAGCCUGUGAAGGUGUACUGUGAGGUAUGCUGGAGGUAUCAGAAGUGCGAAUGCUGACAUAAGUAACGAUAAUGCGGGUGAAAAACCCGCACGCCGGAAGACCAAGGGUUCCUGUCCAACGUUAAUCGGGGCAGGGUGAGUCGACCCCUAAGGCGAGGCAGAAAUGCGUAGUCGAUGGGAAACGGGUUAAUAUUCCCGUACUGGUGAUAAUUGCGAUGGGGGGACGGAGAAGGCUAGGCUAUCCGGGCGACGGUUGUCCCGGUUUAAGAAUGUAGGCAGGUGAAUUAGGCAAAUCCGGUUCACUACAUGCUGAGGUUCGAUGACGAGUCACUACGGUGAUGAAGUAGCUCAUGCCCCGCUUCCAGGAAAAGCCUCUAAGCUCUAGAUUAUCAUUAAUCGUACCCCAAACCGACACAGGUGGUCAGGUAGAGAAUACUCAGGCGCUUGAGAGAACUCGGGUGAAGGAACUAGGCAAAAUGGUGCCGUAACUUCGGGAGAAGGCACGCUGGCGCUAGGUGAAGUCCCUCGCGGAUGGAGCUGAAGCCAGUCGCAGAUACCAGCUGGCUGCAACUGUUUAUUAAAAACACAGCACUGUGCAAACACGAAAGUGGACGUAUACGGUGUGACGCCUGCCCGGUGCUGGAAGGUUAAUUGAUGGGGUUAUCCGUAAGGAGAAGCUCUUGAUCGAAGCCCCAGUAAACGGCGGCCGUAACUAUAACGGUCCUAAGGUAGCGAAAUUCCUUGUCGGGUAAGUUCCGACCUGCACGAAUGGCGUAAUGAUGGCCAGGCUGUCUCCACCCGAGACUCAGUGAAAUUGAACUCGCUGUGAAGAUGCAGUGUACCCGCGGCAAGACGGAAAGACCCCGUGAACCUUUACUAUAGCUUGACACUGAACAUUGAGCCUUGAUGUGUAGGAUAGGUGGGAGGCUUCGAAGCGUGGACGCCAGUCUGCGUGGAGCCAACCUUGAAAUACCACCCUUUAAUGUUUGAUGUUCUAACGU